UCCGGUGACAAUGGCGAGAGGGACCCACCCGUUCCCAUCCCGAACACGGCAGUUAAGCCUCUCAGCGCUGAUGGUACUUGGACCGCAGGGUCCUGGGAGAGUAAGUCGUUGCCGGAU
rnacentral:rRNA from 1 species